AACUAAAUCCCCGGCCCUGACAAUGUUUUUCUAAUAGAGAGAUUUCUCAGACCAUUUGUAUUUAAAUGUACAAUAUAAAAUUCAAAGGGGAAAGGAGAGUGUAAGUAUGCUCUAUUUGCUGGCCUUAUUUGACUGUUAGGAUGUGUGUGUUUGUGACAUCUUACACCUUUCAGAACAUUUCAUGAAGCACCAUUUUGAGCAAAUACUAGCCUUGUUAUUACUUUAAUCAAUACAGGGAACAGAAAACCACCGACUCAGCAGAACAAAACUAAAUCCUACAUCACCUGAUGCAAUGAAAUGCCCUUUCUUCCACACCACACAGCCGCUCAGGUGAUAGCACAGCCAUUACUGUUUCACAGAAAGUAGAAGCUUCAGGAUAUUCUAGAAAGAGACAAUAAGGAUUACAAUUCUAUGAACCCCAACAGAAUGAAUCCACCAAGCAAGGAAAGAAAUUAAAUAGAAAAGGAAAGAAGGAAGCCAACAGCAGGAAAAUAACAUAACAGAGAUAAGACAAUACAUAUCAGCUAUAACCAGCAAUGUUAAUGGUCUCCAUUCGCCAAUCAAAAGAAAUAGACUGUCAGAAUGGAUCAAGAAGCAAGAUCCAACAAUACGCUGCAUACAAGAUACACAUUUAAUUGAAAAACAAAUUCAUAGACUGAAAGUCAAGGGAUGGAAAACAAUAUUCCAUGGACUGCAGACGGGCGGGUCUGCCCACACCCUACCGAGGUCCCCAGUCGCGCGGAACACACGCCGAAUCAGCCCGCUGCAGACAGGCAGGUCUGUGCACGCCCUACCGAGGUCCUGAGUCACGCAGAAGACGCCGAGUCACCCCACUGCAGACAGGCAGCCACCUGAUUCCACAUUACCAAGGCCCAGAGGACACCAGACCACCAGACCAAGAUAAUCCGCCCGAGACGUGGGAGACCCGAGCCAGCUCCGUGACAGUUCGUCGGCCGCCAUGUCAGCAAGUGGAGCGAGAAGCGCACCCGGCGCCCGGUGGUAGCCCAGCCGGUGCCUCAGAUUCCCAGAUGAUGCAUCUUUAAUACAAGAAAAGAUACUAAGUGCAGCCACACAUGCUGUUGGUGAUGAAGAGAUUGCCGAAGUCAAUGCUAAUGAUCAACCAGAAGCCCCAAAGCUAGCUCCGCAGUCUCUGUUCUCACUCAUGCGAGGUGAAGUUGAGCAGUUGGAUUCAAGGGCGCUUCCCCUCUGCCUUCACCAGGUACUACAUUAAACCCUCCACUUUCAGCCUCACUGAAACUCUGGUACCAGUGUUUGGAAUCCUCUAAAAUCCAGAUCGUCUGAGAUCAUCUGAAAUUCAUAAAGAAUCCCAAAAUUGUUUCUAUCCCACCCAUUGUUUUGUGAGCUCAGGAGAUGACGACCCUGGACCAGGGCUGUGGAAAAUUUGACAUAGCACUAAACUGAUGGCCAUACCUUGGCCUUAGAGAAUCAAUAGUUUGGAUAAUAAAUAGCUCAUUCCUUUUCUUCAGUGUACAGAUAGGAGACUGAGUAGCAAGAGCUUAGUAAGCACCAACUAUGUGCCAAAAACAAUGCUAGACACUGGGGAAACAAGAUGAUGAACAGAGUGUGUCCUUAAGAGAGCCACUGUGGAGUAGGAGAAACCAUGAUAUAAAUCCAUGAGUGUCGAAUUCUGUAGGAAGAGUCAGGAGAUAUCUGUUUGGGGUUCAGUGGCAUGAAAUGGAAGAUGAACUUUGUCCUGUAAGCUUGAGGGAAGAGAAGGUGGCUCUUGGGUUGUACAGGAAGACUAGAUGCUCACCAUACAGCACAGGGAGCUAGUACCCAAAGAGACGUUUGGAAGGGACAUUGUUAGAGAUUAAGAAGGAAAGAGACAAGAGUCAAGAUUCCAUAGCUCGUGACCUGAAGGCCUUAGUCUGAGGACCUGGGAAUUUUAACGAUGAGAAUUUUUCUGAAUAAAAACUUAGUAUCAUUGAGCUAUAUCCCGAGCUCCUCAGAGCCCAAUCUGAAUUUUAGAAACAUAAUUUUUCCAGGUGGGUAUGGUAGCAUGUGCCUUUAAUGCUAGUAUUCUGGGAGACUGAGUCAGGAGGGUUGUGGGUUACUUAGUGAUUUAGUGAGGCCUUAUCUCAAAAUUUAAAAAAAAAAUCAUGAAAGUGUGGGAGAUGUAGCUCAGUGCCCAGGACCUUAAAAAAAAAAAAGUAACUCAUCAGUGAUGGGAAGAUAAGGGGAAGAUAUUGAGCCUGGCGCCUGGAGAGUGGGAAGCCUUCAGCACAGUGAAAUAAGAAGCCUUAUCCUAAGAGCUAAUUCAGGAACAGUUAAAACUGCAUUUGUAAGAUGCAUUUUAUUUCCACUUAAAAUGAAAAUAAUUUGUACUUGAGAAUAAAGAUCAACUUUUUUAUUUCACCCCUCAAAAAAAUACUUGGUAGAAUUCACCAAUGACUAUGUCUGGUCCUGGUUUUUUCUGUUUUGGAAAUUUAUUAAUUAUUAAUUCAAUUUAUUUAAUAGGUAGAGGCCUAUUGAGCGAGACUAUUCCACAGGUGGUUUUGAUUCCCCUCAUGGCAAACAACUUCCACCAGUUCCUAAUUCUCUUGAUGACAGUCCCUCUUUCCUAUACUAGUGGUGGUGAACCUAUGGCACAUGUGCCACAGUAAGCAUGCAGAACUCUGUCAACAUGUGAGCCAAGUUGUCCC
ensembl:lncRNA